rnacentral:lncRNA from 12 species
CCCCCCCCCCCCCCCCCCCCCCCCCCCCCCCCCCCCCCCCCCCCCCCCCCCCCCCCCCCCCUGUGUCACCUGUGUCACCUGUGUGUCACCUGUGUUACCUGUGUGUCACCUGUGUGUCAUUAACAUCACCUGUGUGUCAUUAACGUCACCUGUGUCAUUAAUGUCACUGGUACCCGGUCAGCGACAGCUGCCGCCUGCACGUGACCGACAGGAGCGGUGCCCGCGCCGGGCAGUUCGAGGAUCUGAGCCAAGUGCCCAAGUACGAGAUGGCCGAGAGUGACUAUGACAAGAGAACAGAGUCCCUGCGCUCCUGGGAACGGGAACAGAACUGGGAAUAGGAACGGGACCGGGAACAGGAACGGGAACAGGAACGGGAAUAGGAGCGGGACCAGGAAUAGGAAUGGGACCAGGAGUGUCCCUGUCCCCAGAGUGUCCCUGUCCCCAGAGUGCCACCCUGCCGUGUCCCCGGCUGUCCCCUGCUGUCCCCGCAGAGUCCCUGCGCUCCUGGCACCGCUGGGACUGGGAACAGAACUGGGAAUAGGAGCGGGACGGGACCAGGAAUGGGAACAAGAGUGGGAAUAGGAGCGGGAUCAGGAGCGUGUCUGUCCCUGUCCCCAGAGUGUCCCUGUCCCCAAAGUGCCACCCUGCCGUGUCCCCUCCUGUCCCCUCAGUGUCCCCGCGGAGUCCCUGCGCUCCUUCCUGCGGCAGCGCUCUGGGGCCGCUGGGACCGGGACCGGGACGGGGAAUAGGAGCGGGAGCGGG